UACGGGGGGGGCAAGCGUUGUUCGGAAUUACUGGGCGUAAAGGGCUCGUAGGUGGCCAACUAAGUCAGACGUGAAAUCCCUCGGCUUAACCGGGGAACUGCGUCUGAUACUGGAUGGCUUGAGUUCGGGAGAGGGAUGCGGAAUUCCAGGUGUAGCGGUGAAAUGCGUAGAUAUCUGGAGGAACACCGGUGGCGAAGGCGGCAUCCUGGACCGGCACUGACACUGAGGAGCGAAAGCGUGGGGAGCGAACAGG
rnacentral:rRNA from 1 species